GCAAAUAGAGACAGUUGUAUUUAUUUCUUUUCAGUAUGAUAUCUUUUACUCUAUUGUUCCUGUCGCUUUUGACCUUUCUUAUCCUACUGCAUUUUUCUGUAGUUACCAUCACCAAUCCUACUUGUUGUUUGUCUAUUUAUAACUGCCCUAACUAAGAUGUAAGCUCCCAGAGGGCUGGCACUUUCUCUCUUCUGUCCAUUGCCUUCCCGGGUUCUAGAACCAAGCCUGGCACAUGACAGGUAUUCAAUAAACAUUUAAGAUCUGAGUUAGCUUUCAAGGUGAAUCCUCCAAAGGGGGAUCUUCCUGAUCUCAGCAUGCUCUCAACACUUAGCCCCACCUUCACUUGAAGCCAGAGCUUAGUGGGAGAAGUUCAGGGCAUCUAGUACCAUUAUGCCAGAAUAUACACUUUUUCAGAAGUCAGCACAAGGCAUUGCAAAAACAAACAAAGACAGACAAACAAACAACAAAACUUCUUUCUGUCUCUACUCAAAGCAAGUCAACUUGCAUCUCAGGCUCCAAGAUGGAGGUCUACAAGGUCCUUUACUGCUUCUUCCACCUUAGUGAUUGCAUCUUUGUCUACCACCUGACAACCAAGGGCUGAGGGACCCCUUGUGGCCACAAAGUAAUGGCAUGAGCUAAGAGGCCUUUCAAAUAUAUUAUACUGUGGCAACAACCCUGGGUUGAGAACUCACUCAAGAGUUGCCAUGGCCACUGCUUUGGACACAUUCCACCUGCACAAAGACCUGCCCACAGGCCACCCCAUCAUCUUUCCUGCCAAUAACCCCUCCCUAGCCAGUAUUUCUGUUGCUUCCCUUGAAUUAUCCUUUUAUCAUUAUAAAAAAAGAGCAUUAAUCAGAGGAAUGAAGAGUGAUGGAAGAGGGUUCUGUAAGGCUAAAAAGAACCAAAGAAGAGCUAGUCUGGAGAAAAGAGUGAGUGGUUUGGGCUCCAUGGCACCAACUUUACUUUGAUCGUACCUAUCUUUGAAUGAAAAUAUUGACUGAGCCUGAAUCUCCAAGAUUUCAUCCCUGCCUUGCAAGUUUUAAGAUCCAGUGAAUAAGGAAAUCUCAAGUUCUGGAAGAGACAUUGGAGGUCAUCUGAUUUCCAGUCCCUGCAGAAGCCAGACAGGUUUUCAAGAUUUGGCAAUUAAGAUGAUGACACGGGAAAACCAUUGUUCACCAGGCAAUUGCAGUUCUACUUGGCUUUUCACUGGAAAAAAACUUGCCGUGUGUAAUUUCUGAGGAAGCAUCAUUAUUAUUCCGCAUCCUCUUGCUUCAGUUGUUAAGUAAAUAUAUAUGUAGACAACCUCUGGAUGAAGGCAUUGUUAACUUGAAGACCAUUUUGACAGUCCAAGGGAAUCAUAAUUAAAUCUGUCAUCUCUUUAUAACUUGUAUCACAAAUGAGAAAAAAUUAAGAAUAACCGGAUCCAAAAUUUAAGUGUAAAAUAAAUUUAUCUGCUUGAAAAGAUGAUACUUAAACAAAGACACUGAUGUUUUGAGGUGUUCAAAUAAGAGAAAAAUAAUGUGGUAUUAAAAUUCAGCAUACCACUGGUGACUAAUAAGCAUGUAAUAGAAAGUGUGAUCCUGACAUAUUGAAAUGCAGGAAGAGGGAAGAGUGCGAGAGCUGCUGGCCAGGCAGGGACAACACCAUUUCUGCUUUGUCUCCAGAGAAAGAACCUAAGAUGAACACAGACGGGAGCAAGAGAAAUCAAUGCCCACUUAUUUUAAGGUGUGAUUUUAUGUGCAGGAAAGAUGCUCACAGGAGUGCUAUGCAUUUAUUUGUCUGACAAAGACUAGAGCUGUGGUCACAGCCUUGACCUGGGAGGGAUUGAAUUAGCUUUGAAGUUAUUGUUCUGGGCCUCUGAAUAACUUCUAGUCUGCUGUUCACUGAAGAGCUGAGGAAAGUGCAUUCACACACAUAAUGAAACCUCUUCUAUCAUCAAGUUUUUAUUUACCUGUCAAGCCUGAGCAGCCAAAUGAACUUGGGAAAUUACUGAGAAAAUGAGGGGAGUGCAUGAUGGAUGCUUAAGGCAGGUCUGUGAUUUCGACCACCUUAAAGACAGACAAACCUUUUGGAGCAUUACUUCAGGAAAUCCCAUUGGAAAAAUCAUUUGGAGUAGUUUUUAUUUUGGGGUUUUUUUUGGGGGGGCGGGUAGGGACUUGGUGCUGACUCCAUUUGGAACAAACAUUUAAAUCUUUUGGAUGCUAUUUUUGAACAAAAAUUUUUUCUUACAAAUUUCACUCAGAAAGAGUUGAGAUGAAAGAGAGGAGCCCUAAAAUUAUUUUGCCAAUUCCAAACCUUCAAACCCCAUUGGAAUAUUUUUAUUGGAAAGCGUUACCCAAUUUGGUUACAAUCUUUCUUUCCACAACAGUGGACUACCAGGCUAAAAAUCAACCAGGUCGUGAUAGGGAGGGAGUGAAACUUCUUUUGUAAUCUGGUAGAAACUAGUGAAAAAUAAAAUUCAAUAAAGUGUCUAAAUCAGACCCUCAUGGAUCUCUGAAGUUCUGAUUCAUUGUCAAAACCCAGUCUAAGAAAUUUCUUUAAUUGCCAGGCAGUCCGUUUUGGAGAACAAUCUCCUCAGACACACACUCCCUAUAGCCAAAUGCUCAAAUGAUUCAUUCACCAAUUUCUUGCACCAACUUCUGCCAGAAAAUGGUUUUAAUGUCCUACUAAGCGAUUGGAAUUUCUGUUGAUAUAUCUGAUAAUGUAAAAAAUACUGUUGCCAUUGGGAAUCAAAGAGAAUCAAAGACAUUCUUCCCAGGAAGACCAAAUGGUAUGCCAGCUGUCUCAGGUGUCUGGCUUUUAGCAAACUUGGAAAGUCUGUGGUCCCUUGGGUGAAAGGCAUUUUGAUGAAUUGUACAUUCAAUAGGUACCUGGCACAUCAUAGUCCAUACCAUUUCUUUUCCAAACCACCACCGUCCACAAAAUAAAUUGUCCAAAUAGGUAUCUUCCGUGUUUUAGUCAAACAAAGACAUGUGAGGCAAUAAAAGCCACUAGAAAGAAAAAUACUUUCAAUUAGAAGAUGUCCCCCCCCCAAAAAAAAAACUUUAGUUAUUUGCAUGUCACUAUCGAGACCUUUGCCAUGUCCUAAGACCACUGUACUAUUAGGCGGAACCAUAUAAACUUAC